rnacentral:lncRNA from 1 species
UAUUCAGGAACCUCUCGCCUUGCUCGAAUAUCCUACUGACCUACAACCCCUAUAAGGAAUUGCAAAUAUGGUAAGGGCUACCAGUAUCCAAUACCCAGUCAGUUAUAUCACAAAUAGAGAAAUUGCAAGGAGUUAUCAUAUAAAUACUUUAUCUAGCAACAGUUUGCUUCUUUCUCUGCCUGUUCAGGUCCAGAGAGGCAAUGUACUGAGGACAGUUCUUCUUCCAGUGCCUCCGCUUCUUGCAAAAGAAGCAUUCAGCUUGAUUCUUAUCAGGCUGGAUCUUUCUGGUCUGGCCCUACAUAGAUGUC